rnacentral:rRNA from 1 species
AUUGAACGCUGGCGGCAGGCCUAACACAUGCAAGUCGAGCGAGCGGCGGACGGGUGAGUAAUGUCUGGGAAACUGCCUGAUGGCGGGGGAUAACUACUGGAAACGGUAGCUAAUACCGCAUACCAUCAGAUGUGCCCAGAUGGGCUUAGCUAGUAGGUGGGGUAACGGCUCACCUAGGCGACGCUCCCUAGCUGGUCUGAGAGGAUGACCAGCAACACUGAAACGGAGACACGGUCCAGCAUCCUACGGGAGGCAGCAGUGGGGAAUAGUGCACAAUGGGCGCAAGCCUAAUGCAGCCAUGCCGAGUGUGUGAAGAAGGCCUUCGGUUUGUAAAGCACUUUCAGCGGGGAGGCGUUACCCGCAGAAGAAGCACCGGCUAACUCCGUGCCAGCCGCCGCGGUAAUUC